UGUAUUUUGGACCACCUGAUGAAG
rnacentral:miRNA from 1 species